rnacentral:rRNA from 1 species
CUACGGGAGGCUCCAGUGAGGAAUAUUGCACAAUGGGGGGAGCCCUGAUGCAGCAACGCCGCGUGGAGGAUGACGCAUUUCGGUGUGUAAACUCCUUUUAUAUGUCAAGAAAAUGACGGUAGCAUAUGAAUAAGCACCGGCUAACUCCGUGCCAGCAGCCGCGGUAAUACGGAGGGUGCAAGCGUUACUCGGAAUCACUGGGCGUAAAGGACGCGUAGGCGGGUUGGAAAGUCAGGUGUGAAAUACUACAGCUUAACUGUAGAACUGCACUUGAAACUUCUAAUCUAGAGUAUGGGAGGGGAGAUGGAAUUAGUGGUGUAGGGGUAAAAUCCGUAGAUAUCACUAGGAAUACCUAAAGCGAAGGCGAUCUCCUGGAACAUUACUGACGCUAAGGCGUGAAAGCGUGGGGAGCAAACAGGAUUAGAUACCCUCGUAGUC